rnacentral:rRNA from 1 species
UGCCUACGGGGCGCAGCAGUAGGGAAUCUUCCACAAUGGACGAAAGUCUGAUGGAGCAACGCCGCGUGAGUGAAGAAGGGUUUGGGCUCGUCAAGCUUUGUUGGUAGUGAAGAAAGAUAGAGGUAGUAACUGGCCUUUAUUUGACGGUAAUUACUUAGAAAGUCACGGCUAACUACGUGCCAGCAGCCGCGGUAAUACGUAGGUGGCAAGCGUUGUCCGGAUUUAUUGGGCGUAAAGCGAGUGCAGGCGG